ensembl:lncRNA
ACACAAGUGUGUGGUAGCCCCUUUAAGACUGGGUCCCUUCAGAACUUUUAACUCUUAAAUUAGUGAUGCUGAGCCUCCUGUGAUUUGCCAAUUACAGGUUAAAAGGUUCUGCUGAUAUUAGCUGCAGCUACGGCUUCUGCUUCUGAGCAACUUCUACUCCUGGCCUUAUCACGUUGCAGUCGCUGCUGCAGUGUCUAGUUCUACACAGGCUUUAAACAGCAGCUUUGUUUCUGAGCAACCUGAUUGUCUGGUAGCCACAAUUUGCUUCUCUUCUUAUCAUCUCAGCUCCUACCCUGCUCCACUCCUGCUCUUCGGGAUAACAUUUGCAAAUAGACUCCUUACGUGGUCCUUUUGUGCUGAAUAUCAGUUGGCCACAGACAGGCAUACUUUACCAAGAAUUCCACAUUUGAUACAGAAAAACUUGCCUGAAAAUGUUGGCCCCCAUGCAGAAGGAAGUACUAUUAUGUCCCAGAUGGCGCGAAGACCAAUUUCGUUAUGCUACCCAAGCAGUCAUCCACCUGUGUUACCACUGGUCUCUGUUUGUGCCCAUCAGAGUCUUUUCCUUCUCCCUUAGUAGACUAGUACCUUUUGACAACAGCAGCACUCUCCUAACAAGUCUUUUCACAAUCUUUUUCCUGCAACUCCCUUUCCCCCAUACUCUAUACUAUUAAAUUGGGCAAACCUGUUCCACAAUUUUCUACCUUCAGGUCUAUCAUUUUACUUCAGAAUGUCAUAUCUAUGGAAUCUAGGUGGCUCAAAUUGCACCUUCACAUUGAACAUUCUGUUACCUGUAAAAUUACUGAGAGGAUGGAAGGCUAGAACGUAAUGGAAAACAAUUCAACAUAAAUUGAUAUGGCAGUCAGCCAGAAUGGUUUUAAUCAGAAAUCAUUCAGAAUAUUUCCAGAGCAUGAGCUGAGUUUUGUUGCAAACAUGUUUUAAGUGGACUUUAUGAAACUAUUCUUAAUUACAUGUUUUAAACCUUAGGAAAUAUUCCAUUCAACAUCACAUGAUUUAUUGGACUUGUAUUGAUGAUUUGGAAUUCAAUUAGGUGAUUUCAAUUUGCAAAUCAUGAGUAACACAGGACACAGUAGAUUCUCUAUUGACCAGACAUGGGCCAGCACUCCAUUGUUUACCUGAGUCCCAUAUGCUUUCCUUCUUUUCUUCUAACUUAAACAUAAAUGAAUUAAUUUUCAGGAGAACAAUUUAUUAUUUUAUAUUUUGAACGUCAGAAAAUAGCUUGGCUAAAAUAGAUGUCAGAGACUUUUUGAAAACCACCUUUCCAUUAGCUAAAACACUUUGAAAUAAUGUAAUUUAUAAUUUUCUCCAUAUUUAAAUAAUUUACUUUCAGAAUAAAUGAAGCCAGCUAUUAUGACACUCAUCUUGAUUGUGCCAAGUUCAAAAGCUUCUUAUUGUGGCAAAGCUCUCCUGCUCAGAUCCCCUGCUCCUCCAGGGAAAGCUUCAUGCCUAAGAUUACUCCCAGCUGUGAAGCACUGGGGAUACAAUGUGGCUUUUUUCCUCUCCAGAAAGAUAUUUUUCCCUCUUCCACCUGAGUCAGCACUGUCUGUUAUUGUGGGUUUUUUUUUAAAUCUACUUUCCAAUUCUCUCUCAGAGGUAAUUGUUCCAAGAGUAGUUGUAAAUCUGUUGUGUCCAUGGGAGGAGGUGAGUUCAGAGUCCUCCUAUGCCACCUUCUUCCCAGCAAUCCAAAAUAAUUCAGUUUUUUUAUAUAUUGACUUUUAAAUGUCUACUGGAUAUUCAAGUGGAGAUAUAAGGUAGAGAGUUAUGUAUCAAAGACUGAGGCUCAGAUGGAGGUGUGGGCAAGAUAAACUGAUUUGGUAUUCACCAAGAUAGGUACAUAUUGAAGUUUUGAGACUAUGAUGUUACCCAGAUACCAGCUUUGUACCACUAAUUUCUAUAGGAGUCAUAUUAUUUUU